rnacentral:rRNA from 1 species
GAUGAACGCUGGCGGCGUGCCUAAUACAUGCAAGUCGAGCGAACAGACGAGGAGCUUGCUCCUCUGACGUUAGCGGCGGACGGGUGAGUAACACGUGGAUAACCUACCUAUAAGACUGGGAUAACUUCGGGAAACCGGAGCUAAUACCGGAUAAUAUAUUGAACCGCAUGGUUCAAUAGUGAAAGACGGUUUUGCUGUCACUUAUAGAUGGAUCCGCGCCGCAUUAGCUAGUUGGUAAGGUAACGGCUUACCAAGGCAACGAUGCGUAGCCGACCUGAGAGGAUGAUCGGCCACACUGGAACUGAGACACGGUCCAGACUCCUACGGGAGGCAGCAGUAGGGAAUCUUGCGCAAUGGGCGAAAGCCUGACGGAGCAACGCCGCGUGAGUGAUGAAGGUCUUCGGAUCGUAAAACUCUGUUAUUAGGGAAGAACAAGUGUGGAAGUAACUAUGCACGUCUUGACGGUACCUAAUCAGAAAGCCACGGCUAACUACGUG